rnacentral:rRNA from 1 species
AUAGCGUAUAUUAAAGUUGUUGCAGUUAAAAAGCUCGUAGUUGAACUUCGAACGUGGCUGGGCGGUCCGCCUCACGGUGUGUACUGUCUGGCCGUGUUCUCUUUCUUGGUGAGCCGGCAUGCCCUUCACUGGGUGUGUUGGGGAACCAGGACGUUUACCUUGAGAAAAUUAGAGUGUUCAAAGCAGGCCUACGCCCGGAUACAUUAGCAUGGCAUAAUAAAAUAGGACGUGCGGUUCUAUUUUGUUGGUUUCUAGGAUCGCCGUAAUGAUUAAUAGGAACGGUCGGGGGCAUUAGUAUUCCAUUGCUAGAGGUGAAAUUCUUAGAUUUAUGGAAGACUAACAACUG